CGGCCGCGUCGACGCAAGUCGAGCGAGCGGAACUAACAGAUUUACUUCGGCAAUGACGUUAGGAAAGCGAGCGGCGGAUGGGUGAGUAACACGUGGGGAACCUGCCCCAUAGUCUGGGAUACCACUUGGAAACAGGUGCUAAUACCGGAUAAGAAAGCAGAUCGCAUGAUCAGCUUUUAAAAGGCGGCGUAAGCUGUCGCUAUGGGAUGGCCCCGCGGUGCAUUAGCUAGUUGGUAAGGUAAAGGCUUACCAAGGCGAUGAUGCAUAGCCGAGUUGAGAGACUGAUCGGCCACAUUGGGACUGAGACACGGCCCAAACUCCUACGGGAGGCAGCAGUAGGGAAUCUUCCACAAUGGACGCAAGUCUGAUGGAGCAACGCCGCGUGAGUGAAGAAGGUUUUCGGAUCGUAAAGCUCUGUUGUUGGUGAAGAAGGAUAGAGGUAGUAACUGGCCUUUAUUUGACGGUAAUCAACCAGAAAGUCACGGCUAACUACGUGCCAGCAGCCGCGGUAAUACGUAGGUGGCAAGCGUUUCGGG
rnacentral:rRNA from 1 species